UUCUGUUUGUUUGCUUUUUUUUUUGUUGUUGAAUGAAUGAAUUAAUGAAGGAAUACGGGCGCGGCACCGGCGCAGACUGCCGACGACACGUCCAGAAGCUCAACAGCCUGAGAGGAGGCAUCCUGGCGGAGCAGGACCACAAAGCCUGGUCAGGAGGCUCAUAGUUUGCCACAAAUGAUUAAUCUCAUUUUUUUUUCUGCGAAGUUCCGCCCGGGGGCGCUAGAGUACUGAAAACACGUCGUGAACCUUGGUACAAAAAUUUUAAAUGUGCCAUGUGAAGUGAAGUGAUUGUCACUUGUGAUACACAGCAGCACAGCACACAGUGACAUUUGCCCUCUGCAUUUAACCCAUCACCCUGAGUGAGCAGUGGGCGGCCAUGACAGGCGCCCGGGGAGCAGUGUGUGGGGACGGUGCUUUGCUCAGUGGCACCUUGGCGGAUCGGGAUUCGAACCAGCAACCCUCUGAUUACACUAGGCCACCACUGCCCCAGAAACAACUCGUGUCAGAUUUGUCUGCCUCUCGUCCAGUGAGGGGGCAGUAUAUCACCAGGAUUUGAAACCUUGCACGCUUUAGCUGAUUGUGAAUAAGAAGGCCAACGAUGACUGCUGACAUGGGCGUGUACGAGAGAGGGAGAGUGAUUGCAUCUAAGGAAUGUUGUUGGUUGAGCUGUGAGGUGUGGCGAAUGCCGGUUCAGGAUGAGUCUUGGUGACUGAAAUGAUUUUGUUUUUCAAGGGAAGACAGUGUCGGACGUGACGACAUCCAAGCGGAACCAGCGCUCUGUAAUGAAUCCCAAGUGGGUGAGGUUGCCAGCGGGACUAGCCGCUGGGACAAAUAUCUAGAGAAGGAAGAUGGGCGUCCGCCAAAAGAGGAUGACGCGGACGAGGAAGACUGUUACACCGAGAGCAGGCGGUUCAGCAACCGGAGGAACGGCAGAAAGAGAGAGAGAAACAGCCGCAAACAAAGAGCCUUUGGUGAGGACAAGGAUGUGAGUGUUCGUCAAUGGAAAACUGGGAGGCCGGCAUCAGAGGUACCACAUUUACACACGUGUACCCCCUUUUUUUUUUUUUUUUUUUUUUUUUUUGGCUGGACGUGUGUAAUUGAAGCCGUCGUUACGAAAGGCGUGUUGCCACAAUCUGACCCAGAUCUUUUAUCACUUUGUUCCACUGCACAGGCACAUUUUUCAUCAAAUGGCCAGUCAGUAGACCCGCCAUCGUUCUCCGGCUCAGGAAACGUCGCCGCAGCCGCCUUCCUCGAGCACAGACGUGGUGUGGCGUCAGAAGCAGACUGUGGCCGACCCUCCCGUCCGGAUGCUCUCGGACCUCGACCGCCGUUACCCGCCGGUAGAAACCAGGAACCCUGGAAUUACCAGAGUCUGUCCAAGAGCUCCAAGUGGGCCAAGUUCCUGGCCACGCCUUCUGGUGGCGAAGAGGUGGAAGACGACGCCCGGAUGGAUUUGCCUGGGCGUGUGUGCGUUACUUCGGGAGCUCCCAACACAGAGGGCCCUGAAGGCCACGCCCACAGCGAGACAGGUGAUGGCGGUGGGCUGUCUGGUAUAGUUCCUGUUUUGGGGAGCUGCAGCGGUGUUUUGGGGAGGCUCGUGUCCACCGCCGCCCUGUGUGAAUUUGACGGCCAGGAGCAUGAAGCGCAGCGUCCUGCCGUGACCUCCCUGACACCAGCAGUCUGUCAGCAGCCUCCUCCCAUCAAACGACCACGCCCCUCCUUCACGUCCAACGCGCUGUUUCAAACUGAUGAGGACUUUGAUGAAAACAUUUAA
ensembl:lncRNA